rnacentral:lncRNA from 1 species
AAAAUAUAAUUGUGGCGAUUAAAAACUUUUUCAUUUAUGAUGGUCUAGAAAAGUCCCCUUCUUUUAAAGUUGUUCAAACUAUAAUCAAUUUUCCCCAUAAAGUUCUCCUUUUUAAAAGAUAAGUGUUUAGUGUUUAUUUAUUACAAUGUAGUCUCUUAAGAUAAGUUUGAGAGAAUAAUCAUAGACAACAAUGGGGCAAACUCAUCUUAUUUAGGGGGGUGUUAAAUGAAAUUAAAGCAUGUUUAUGUUUCUUGGCGAAAAAAGUAAUACAGUGGCGAAAAAUAUUGUUUUGGAGAAAAAGAUGGCGAAAAAAAUAAUUGACCCAGGGGAAAACCUGAUUGUUACCUAUACUAUAUAUAGCUACGACUCAUAAGGGGGUAAAACAAUUCAAAGAAGAAAACUAGCUGGCUAAAUUAUGAACAAAAUAAUGAAAGGAAAACAAAUGUGGUACACAGUAACAAACCACAACCACUAAUUUACAGGCUACUGACUGGGGACAGGCACAUAGAAAAUGUGACAGGGGUAUACUGGUUAUUUAGCGCCAGCUUCUGUGGAGAGGACUUACAUAGGCUAUGCCUGUUGCCCAAUCCAAUUCAAUUUAUUUGAAUAAAAUAUUGUUUAAACUAAACUAGCGC